rnacentral:rRNA from 1 species
AGAGUUUGAUCAUGGCUCAGAUUGAACGCUGGCGGCAGGCUUAACACAUGCAAGUCGAACGAUGACUCUCUAGCUUGCUAGAGAUGAUUAGUGGCGGACGGGUGAGUAACAUUUAGGAAUCUACCCAGUAGUGGGGGAUAGCUCGGGGAAACUCGAAUUAAUACCGCAUACGACCUACGGGUGAAAGGGGCGCAAGCUCUUGCUAUUAGAUGAGCCUAAAUCAGAUUAGCUAGUUGGUGGGGUAAAGGCCCACCAAGGCGACGAUCUGUAACUGGUCUGAGAGGAUGAUCAGUCACACCGGAACUGAGACACGGUCCGGACUCCUACGGGAGGCAGCAGUGGGGAAUAUUGGACAAUGGGGGCAACCCUGAUCCAGCCAUGCCGCGUGUGUGAAGAAGGCCUUUUGGUUGUAAAGCACUUUAAGCAGGGAGGAGAGGCUAAUGGUUAAUACCCAUUAGAUUGACGUUACCUGCAGAAUAAGCACCGGCUAACUCUGUGCCAGCAGCCGCGGUGAUACAGAGGGUGCGAGCGUUAAUCGGAAUUACUGGGCGUAAAGCGAGUGUAGGUGGCUCAUUAAGUCACAUGUGAAAUCCCCGGGCUUAACCUGGGAACUGCAUGUGAUACUGGUGGUGCUGAAUAUGUGAGAGGGAAGUAGAAUUCCAGGUGUAGCGGUGAAAUGCGUAGAGAUCUGGAGGAAUACCGAUGGCGAAGGCAGCUUCCUGGCAUAAUAUUGACACUGAGAUUCGAAAGCGUGGGUAGCAAACAGGAUUAGAUACCCUGGUAGUCCACGCCGUAAACGAUGUCUACUAGCCGUUGGGGUCCUUGAGACUUUAGUGGCGCAGUUAACGCGAUAAGUAGACCGCCUGGGGAGUACGGCCGCAAGGUUAAAACUCAAAUGAAUUGACG